GAAACUGCGAAUGGCUCAUUAUAUAAGUUAUCGUUUAUUUGAUAGUACCUUACUACUUGGAUAACCGUGGUAAUUCUAGAGCUAAUACAUGCUAAAAAUCCCGACUUCGGAAGGGGUGUAUUUAUUAGAUUAAAAACCAAUGCCCUUCGGGGCUCACUGGUGAUUCAUGAUAACUCCUCGAAUCGCAUGGCCUUGUGCCGGCGAUGGUUCAUUCAAAUUUCUUCCCUAUCAACUUUCGAUGUUUGGGUAUUGGCCAAACAUGGUUGCAACGGGUAACGGAGGGUUAGGGCUCGACCCCGGAGAAGGAGCCUGAGAAACGGCUACUACAUCCAAGGAAGGCAGCAGGCGCGCAAAUUACCCAAUCCCGACACGGGGAGGUAGUGACAAUAAAUACUGAUACAGGGCUCUUUUGGGUCUUGUAAUUGGAAUGAGUACAAUUUAAAUCCCUUAACGAGGAACAAUUGGAGGGCAAGUCUGGUGCCAGCAGCCGCGGUAAUUCCAGCUCCAAUAGCGUAUAUUAAAGUUGUUGUGGUUAAAAAGCUCGUAGUUGAACCUUGGGCCUGGCUGGCCGGUCCGCCUCAC
rnacentral:rRNA from 1 species